UUAUUUUUCAUGUGACCUGAUGACCCUGCGUUGUCUCACAGGGAAUAUGUCUGACAAGGUUGGAUCAAAUGGAACUUGUGGCUGUGAAGAACAUCCGAGCAUGAUGUUCGAUGAAGCUGAAGCUGCAGCCCGAUUCUUCCCGACCCGGAGGGAGAGACUUCGAUCCUGUUCCACAGAAAGACCUCGCAGGAGCAGCUCCUAUGAAACGGGUCGACUGAAUUUCUAAAGAACAGAAGAAAUGCUCUGGAGGAACGACCCCCGCAAAGUGACCUAAAGAUGGAUGGAGACGUUGCCAUGGAAACCUUCUGCGUCUAAUUCAGACGAGUUUAUUUAGCACCCGUCGUCUACUCUUAUUUUGUUCAUCUUUUUUCCUGUUUAUAAUAAUUGCUUUAUAAAAGUAUUAUUUAGUGGAACUCCAAUAAAGAGGCUGCAUGUCGGCCAAAUGUCAACUAACGGUCCCACAAAAUGUAACUUUGAGUUUGCAGUGAUAUGGAACAAUGGGUCAAUGUGAACAGCACCUGUACAUUAUCGCUCAAUGAUGCACCCUGUGACUCGCUCUCAACCAACCACAGCGCUGGAUUUCAUCUACCCGCGUUAUAAAGAUGUAUAAAAUGUCUGGAAAUUUGAUGAAUAUUGCACUUUCUUAUUACUUGUUCUUCUGCGUUUGUAUCUCUGGUUGAAAUGCUUCCUUUGGAUAAAAUCUAUAAACCUCAAUAAACUACUGCAAUGCAA